UAUAUUUUAUUAAUUAUUGAUAAAAUUUAACACUCAUUAUAGACCAGGCACUAUGUUAAAAAGCAACACCACAGUCAGACAUUGGUUGUUCAUGCCUGUAAUCCUAGGUAAUUAGGAGGCUGAGAUUUGAGGAUCACAGUUCAGAGCUAGCCUGGGCAGGAAAGUCUCAGAGCCAGUCUGGA